UGGGCUGGAAGUUUGACUUCCUCAGGGAGCUCUGAAGGCCUUGCUGGAGCUUCCAUCUGGCUAGCAGGAAGUUCAAUUGCUUCAGGAGACACAGAAUUUGGGGCUGGCUGCUCUGACUCAUCAGGUUCAUCUGUCUCCUCCUGACUCAAUGGAGCUUGAACUAUAUUCUGGAUAGGAGAUUCUGAAGCUUGAGCUGGAGACUCCUCUUGGGCUGGAAGUUUGACUUCCUCAGGGAGCUCUGAAGGCCUUGCUGGAGCUUCCAUCUGGCUAGCAGGAAGUUCAAUUGCUUCAGGAGACACAGAAGUUGGGGCUGGCUGCUCUGACUCAUCGGGUUCAUCUGUCUCCUCCUGACUCAAUGGAGCUUGAACUAUAUUCUGGAUAGGAGAUUCUGAAGCUUGAGCUGGAGACUCUUCUUGGGCUGGAAGUUUGACUUCCUCAGGGAGCUCUGAAGGCCUUGCUGGAGCUUCCAUCUGGCUGGCAGAAGAUUCAGUCUGCUCAGGAAACUCUGAGGCGUGGCAUGCCCGGCUGGCUUCUCCUGUUCACUGGCAGAAGGCCCUGUUUGCACUGGGGCUCCCAGAAUCUGAACAGGGACUGCAUGCUGGUUUAGAGAAGAUUUGAACUUACUGGUAGGUUUUGUAGUUAUGAGAACU